GAUGAACGCUGGCGGCGUGCCUAAUACAUGCAAGUCGAGCGAACAGACGAGGAGCUUGCUCCUCUGACGUUAGCGGCGGACGGGUGAGUAACACGUGUAUCACCUACCUAUAAUACUGGGAUCACUUCGGGAAACCGGAGCUAAUCCCGGAUAAUAUAUUGAACCGCAUGGUUCAAUAGUGAAAUACGGUUUUGCUGUCACUUAUAGAUGGAUCCGCGCCGCAUUAGCUAGUUGGUAAGGUAACGGCUUAUCAAGGGCACGAUGCGUAGCCGACGUGAGGGGGUGAUCGGCCACACUGGAACUGAAACACGGUCCAGACUCCUACGGGAGGCAGCAGUAGGGAAUCUUCCGCAAUGGGCGAAAGCCUGACGGAGCAACGCCGCGUGAGUGAUGGAGGUCUUCGGAUCGUAAAACUCUGUUAUUAGGGAAGAACAAAUGUGUAAGUAACUAUGCACGUCUUGACGGUACCUAAUCAGAAAGCCACGGCUAACUACGUG
rnacentral:rRNA from 1 species